rnacentral:rRNA from 1 species
GUUUGAUCCUGGCUCAGAUUGAACGCUGGCGGCAUGCUUUACACGUGCAAGUCGAACGGCAGCGCGGGGCAACCUGGCGGCGAGUGGCGAACGGGUGAGUAAUAUAUCGGAACGUACCCAAGAGUGGGGGAUAACGUAGCGAAAGUUACGCUAAUACCGCAUACGAUCUACGGAUGAAAGUGGGGGACCUUCGGGCCUCAUGCUCCUGGAGCGGCCGAUAUCUGAUUAGCUAGUUGGUAGGGUAAAGGCCUACCAAGGCGACGAUCAGUAGCUGGUCUGAGAGGACGACCAGCCACACUGGAACUGAGACACGGUCCAGACUCCUACGGGAGGCAGCAGUGGGGAAUUUUGGACAAUGGGCGCAAGCCUGAUCCAGCAAUGCCGCGUGAGUGAAGAAGGCCUUCGGGUUGUAAAGCUCUUUUGUCAGGGAAGAAACGGCUGAGGUUAAUACCUUUGGCUAAUGACGGUACCUGAAGAAUAAGCACCGGCUAACUACGUGCCAGCAGCCGCGGUAAUACGUAGGGUGCAAGCGUUAAUCGGAAUUACUGGGCGUAAAGCGUGCGCAGGCGGUUUUGUAAGUUUGUCGUGAAAGCCCCGGGCUCAACCUGGGAAUGGCGAUGAAGACUGCAAGGCUUGAAUCUGGCAGAGGGGGGUAGAAUUCCACGUGUAGCAGUGAAAUGCGUAGAGAUGUGGAGGAACACCGAUGGCGAAGGCAGCCCCCUGGGUCAAGAUUGACGCUCAUGCACGAAAGCGUGGGGAGCAAACAGGAUUAGAUACCCUGGUAGUCCACGCCCUAAACGAUG